CCAGUGAGGGAAUUAAGGACGGCACAUUGUCCUUGUAACGGGGAUCCAGCAGGCUGGCCACCCAGUAAUCAGCACAAGUUAGAAUGUGGACAACUCAUCAGUUGUUGCACAGGCACUUUGGUGACUCUAGAUAACCUCGGGCUGAUCACACGUCCCCGUGAUGGCGACGACGCAUUCGGAUGUCUGCCCUAUCAACUUUCAAUGGUACUUUCUGCGCCUACCAUGGUGACCACAGGUAAUGGGGAAUCAAGGUUCGAUUCCG